UAUCCUUUCUUCUGCUUGGUCAAUUCGGCUACUGAAACUUGUGUAUGCUCUCGACAUUCUUGUGCUGUGUUUUUCAGCUCCAUCUAGUUGUUUAUAUUCU